CUUUUUUUGGUUACUACAUGAUUCCAUGUGUUAUUUCAUAGUUUUGAUAUCUUCGCUAUUAUUCUACAAUGUAGAAAAUAGUACAAUUAAAGAAAAACCCAUGAAUGAGUAGGUGCUGCUGUAGGGAUUUCGCUAAUGGAGGUAACACUAACACUAAUGGAGGUACGAGACCAAUUAUGUAGACCUCUUCUUCCAGAGUAAUGUUGUGAAUGGGUACUACUACCCUAAUUGAGUCUGUUGCCAAAACCUGGCAAACCUUUUUUUAACAGGUUUCACUUCACAUUAUGAGUAAAAUGUUGUUGUCUCAUGAAUGCAUUUGGAGGUUUUCUGUUAAGGAAAUUGUUAAUUCAGGUUACAAAGUAUUUAUAAGUUCUAAAGAGACUAUAUAGAAGUUGCUUAACAACAUGGUGCAGGUCAAAAGGAAAACGGGAUGGUGCAGGUCAAAAGGAAAACGGGAUGGUGCAGGUCAAAAGGAAAACGGGAUGGUGCAGGUCAAAAGGAAAACGGGAAAUGGAUGUUAAUCAAUAUGGAUAGUGUUAGAGUUCGAAAAACUAGUUAUUAACAUAAACUUGAGCCUCUACCUUUCCUUGGUUAUACUGUAUUCAACUGAAUAUUGGUUAACAUUUUCAUACUUCUCUCAGAAUUGUUUCAUACACUACUGGUACUGUUAGCAGUAGAGCAAUUAUUUUAGGGAAUUUAAUUGUAGUUAGGGAAUAAAAAAAAGUUAAUGAAUAAUGUUCACCAGAAUAAUGGUGGUAAUUUUGUUAGAUUGUACAGAUGUGUGCUCUUUGGUUUAUCCAAGGUACCUAAGUGGUGAGUUGUAAUGUUAUAAUAUACCUGGGUACACAAAUUAAAAUAUAUAGAUAAUUAUGACAACUAAUGACAAAGUCUUAUGUAAGUUUUUAAGGCUGUCAUCUUUCAGUGAGCAUCGGUUAUGGACAGGUACCACUGUGAAAUGUGACUACUACCCCCAACAUGUUUUCUAAAAUACUGAAGUAAUAUUUUCUAGAUGAGUUUGGCCUUUUACUUUGAGAGGUGUGAUUCUGUAUCUAAUCUAGAUGAAUGGAGAACCAGCAAAGGACCAGUCCUUAAACCUUAGUGUAUUACUUACAUUACUGGUACAUGUAAUGUAGUGGUGCCUGCCUAUCUUACCACGACUCAGGACAGACAACGUGGCUGCUUUGUGGAUUAAAGAUAUGUCUGGCAUAAUACAUUUGGAUGAUGAGAGAUGAAUAUCAAGACCAAAAUCACACAUUUGAACUCUGCAUCCACUCAGGACUAUAAUGUACAACACUGAACAAACUACUUUUUCAAGGAUUUUAUGUAUUCUAUCUACAAUUUCAUUAUUGUUUCUAGGUCUGCACUCUCUGGGGUUGGAACUUUAAUAAAUGCAAAUAGCAAAUAAAAAGUGUUUUAUGUAAA